GCACAAGCGGUGGAGCAUGUGGUUUAAUUCGACGCAACGCGAAGAACCUUACCUGGACUCGAAAUGUUGUGGACCGAGGUAGAAAUAUCUCUUCCCCGCAAGGGGCUGCAAUAUAGGUGCUGCAUGGCUGUCGUCAGCUCGUGUCGUGAGAUGUUGGGUUAAGUCCCGCAACGAGCGCAACCCUUAUCUCCAGUUGCUACCAUUUAGUUGAGCACUCUGGCGAAACCGCCUCGGAUAACGGGGAGGAAGGUGGGGAUGACGUCAAGUCCUCAUGGCCUUUAUGCCCAGGGCUACACACGUGCUACAAUGGCCGGUACAAACCGUUGCAAACCCGCGAGGGGGAGCUAAUCGGAAAAAGCCGGCCUCAGUUCGGAUCGCAGUCUGCAACUCGACUGCGUGAAGCUGGAAUCGCUAGUAAUCGCGGAUCAGAACGCCGCGGUGAAUACGUUCCCGGGC
rnacentral:rRNA from 1 species